CUAAGCAUCAGGUAACAUCAAAUCGUACCCCAAACCGACACAGGUGGUCAGGUAGAGAAUACCAAGGCGCUUGAGAGAACUCGGGUGAAGGAACUAGGCAAAAUGGUGCCGUAACUUCGGGAGAAGGCACGCUGGUGUGUAGGUGAAGUCCCUGCGGAUGGAGCUGAGACCAGUCGAAGAUACCAGCUGGCUGCAACUGUUUAUUAAAAACACAGCACUGUGCAAACACGAAAGUGGACGUAUACGGUGUGACGCCUGCCCGGUGCCGGAAGGUUAAUUGAUGGGGUUAUCCGUAAGGAGAAGCUCUUGAUCGAAGCCCCGGUAAACGGCGGCCGUAACUAUAACGGUCCUAAGGUAGCGAAAUUCCUUGUCGGGUAAGUUCCGACCUGCACGAAUGGCGUAAUGAUGGCCAGGCUGUCUCCACCCGAGACUCAGUGAAAUUGAACUCGCUGUGAAGAUGCAGUGUACCCGCGGCAAGACGGAAAGACCCCGUGAACCUUUACUAUAGCUUGACACUGAACAUUGAGCCUUGAUGUGUAGGAUAGGUGGGAGGCUUUGAAGCGUGGACGCCAGUCUGCGUGGAGCCAACCUUGAAAUACCACCCUUUAAUGUUUGAUGUUCUAACGUUGGCCCCUGACCGGGGUUGCGGACAGUGUCUGGUGGGUAGUUUGACUGGGGCGGUCUCCUCCCAAAGCGUAACGGAGGAGCACGAAGGUUAGCUAAUCCUGGUCGGACAUCAGGAGGUUAGUGCAAUGGCAUAAGCUAGCUUGACUGCGAGCGUGACGGCGCGAGCAGGUGCGAAAGCAGGUCAUAGUGAUCCGGUGGUUCUGAAUGGAAGGGCCAUCGCUCAACGGAUAAAAGGUACUCCGGGGAUAACAGGCUGAUACCGCCCAAGAGUUCAUAUCGACGGCGGUGUUUGGCACCUCGAUGUCGGCUCAUCACAUCCUGGGGCUGAAGUAGGUCCCAAGGGUAUGGCUGUUCGCCAUUUAAAGUGGUACGCGAGCUGGGUUUAGAACGUCGUGAGACAGUUCGGUCCCUAUCUGCCGUGGGCGCUGGAGAAUUGAGGGGGGCUGCUCCUAGUACGAGAGGACCGGAGUGGACGCAUCACUGGUGUUCGGGUUGUCAUGCCAAUGGCACUGCCCGGUAGCUAAAUGCGGAAGAGAUAAGUGCUGAAAGCAUCUAAGCACGAAACUUGCCCCGAGAUGAGUUCUCCCUGAGACUAUAAGUCUCCUGAAGGAACGUUAAAGACGAUGACGUUGAUAGGCCGGGUGUGUAAGCGCAGCGAUGCGUUGAGCUAACCGGUACUAAUGAACCGUGAGGCUUAACCUU
rnacentral:rRNA from 1 species